AGGGAUUUAGCACAAUGGUGUUGCAUCUGCCUCAUAAGCAGAAGGUCCCAACUUCAUUUCCUA
rnacentral:tRNA from 1 species